rnacentral:rRNA from 1 species
CACGUAGGCGGACUUUCAAGUCAGGGGUGAAAUCCCGGAGCUCAACUUCGGAAUUGCCUUUGAUACUGUUGGUCUCGAGUCCGGAAGAGGUGGGUGGAAUUCCUAGUGUAGAGGUGAAAUUCGUAGAUAUUAGGAAGAACACCGGUGGCGAAGGCGGCCCACUGGUCCGGUACUGACGCUGAGGUGCGAAAGCGUGGGGAGCAAACA